GACGAACGCUGGCGGCGUGCUUAACACAUGCAAGUCGAACGGAAAGGCCCUGCUUUUGUGGGGUGCUCGAGUGGCGAACGGGUGAGUAACACGUGAGUAACCUGCCCUUGACUUUGGGAUAACUUCAGGAAACUGGGGCUAAUACCGGAUAGGAUCUCCUGCUGCAUGGUGGGGGUUGGAAAGUUUCGGCGGUUGGGGAUGGACUCGCGGCUUAUCAGCUUGUUUGUGGGGUAGUUGCUUACCAAGGCUUUGACGGGUAGGCGGCCUGGGAGGGUUACCGGCCACAUUGGGACUGAGAUACGGCCCAGACGCCUACGGGAGGCAGCAGUGGGGAAUAUUGCACAAUGGGCGGAAGCCUGAUGCGGCAACGCCGCGUGCGGGAUGACGGCCUUCGGGUUGUAAACCGCUUUCGCCUGUGACGAAGCGUGAGUGACGGUAAUGGGUAAAGAAGCACCGGCUAACUACGUG
rnacentral:rRNA from 1 species